AAAUGUGCACAAAAUCUUAACCAGUAUUAAUAUUUCACAGUUUUAAAAGUUUUGUUAUUAGUCAAGUGACCUUUUGCUGACGUGGUCAGCUGCUCUGGUCCCUCAAUGACCAUCUAUAGCUGUGCUCCAGCCCCCUCCGCUAGCUUCUGCCUCCCCUUUGUGAGCUGGGCACUAACCUGUGCUGUUUUGGCCGGGAGGCACAGCCUACUUGGUCAAAUCCCUACGAUUUGUGCCCAAUAAAUAACAAAUGUGUAAACUAAAGUCACAUUGUACCCUGGUUCAGGGGAAUCGAUUGUCAAAUGAGAUUCUCAGAAGCGUGACACCUAACGGAACAUCCAUUAUAGAAGGAAUUGUUUGUUCCUGUUAUUUGCUCAAACAAGGAUGUGUGGACUCAGCAGAGAGAAACGAGAACAUUGGCUCCAGAUAAGUAUGCAAAUGAGGGCAGUGCACAGAAUGGGAAAUCGUGAAAUUCUUCACGGAACACCAGGAAACAGCUUUCUGAAUAACCGUCUUCUCAAAUUCUUUUUCUUUGACUUCUUUAAUAAGAUCACAUCCUGUGGGCACCUUUCAGAUUCCACUUUGUGUAUUGUCUUCCUUGGUUCCUAUUCCAUCACAUGACUUCUUCUGAAAGUUUUAGAAUUCAGCAUCUGUUUCUCUGCUUUUCUUUCUUCACCCAAAUCCUUACCCCUGCCUUGUCAUGGCAGUGACUGAACACCCGCCGUCAGAGGCAGUGCGUUCCCAGUUCUGACCUCUCUCUGAGCCCCCAGGCCCCCAGUGGAUAUUGUCACUUAAAUGUUCCCCACCCCAUCAUUUCAAAUGUUAACCUACCAAGAGCUUGCUAGCUGGGUGACCUUGGGUAAGAUGAGUAACAACUCAAAACUUUAGUUUCUUCAUUUAUGAAACAGCAAAAUAGCACCUUCCUUCUAGGACUACCUUGAAGGUUAAAUCAGACAUAUAUAAAAAAGAAAAAGAAAAAAAAUGAGACAUAUGUGUGAGUGCCUAGCACAGUAGCUAAUGUAUUGUUGUUUUUGUCAUUUUAG
ensembl:lncRNA